rnacentral:rRNA from 1 species
GAUGAACGCUGGCGACGUGGAUAAGGCAUGCAAGUCAAACGACCGAGCACAUAACUUGUUAUGUGCUUCGGUAGUGGCGAACGGGUUAGUAACACGUAGAUUAUCUACCCCUAAGAUUCGCAUAACCCUUCGAAAGAAGGGCUAAUUCGAGAGGUCCGAGCACCGAGCACAUAAAGUAUUAUGUGCUCAGGUGCUCGGUAAAAGUUUCGAGCAAUCGAUCGCUUAGGGAAGAGUCUGCGGCCUAUCAGCUUGUUGGUAGGGUAAAGGCCUACCAAGGCGAUGACGGGUAGGGGACGUGAGAGCGUGACCCCCAACACAGGGACUGAGACACGGCCCUGACACCUACGGGUGGCUGCAGUCGAGAAUCUUGGGCAAUGGGCGAAAGCCUGACCCAGCGACGUCGCGUGCUUGAAUAAGCCCUUCGGGGUGUAAAGAGCUUUUCUUGGGGAGGAACCUUUCGGGGUGACAGUACCCAAGGAAUAAGGAGCCGCUAAUCACGUGCCAGAAGCGUCGGUAAUACGUGAGCUCCGAGCGUUAUCCGGAUUUACUGGGCGUAAAGAGUCUUAAGGCGGUUUGGAAAGUCUUUGGUUAAAUUCUUGGGGCUCAACCUCAAGAUUGCCAAAGAUACUUCCAGACUAGAGGGCGUUAGAGGCCAGCGGAACGCAUGGUGUAGGGGUGAAAUCCGUUGAUAUCAUGCGGAACACCAAAAGCGAAGGCAGCUGGCUGGGGCGGCCCUGACGCUGAUUGACGAAAGCCAGGGGAGAAAAAAGGAUUAGAUACCCUUGUAUUCCUGGCUGUAAAUGAUGGACGCUAGCUAGUGGAAGUGUCGACCCUUUCACUGGCGAAGCUUACGCGUUAAGCGUCCCGCCUGGGAAGACGACGGCAACGUU